AAAGAUCGUACCUGAUAGCUUUUAAUUAUUAUUACAGCAUUAGUUAAAUUAUUAUAUUAUUAUUAUUUGUAGGAUUCAAAAAGGACGAGAGUUAAAGAUCUGACCGUUCAUGAAAACGGAGGCAAAAAGAAAGAUUGUGAAAAGAUCUUUUUUUCUUUUUGCUUCGAGAAAUGGAGCCACGCCAUCCGUUAGUCACCGCAUCAGGUAAUAAUUUUUUUAAAAUAUCAUGUUGUCCCUACAAAACGGUGCGUAUUAAUCCGCCCGUACGUCGCUCACCGUAUCUUGCAAGUAGGUGAACGGCGGAGCCAGGUCCAGGCGGCUUUCUCUCUUUCUUUCUUUCUUUCUCUUUUUGACGCCGCC
rnacentral:lncRNA from 1 species